rnacentral:rRNA from 1 species
AUACGUAGGUGGCGAGCGUUGUCCGGAUUUACUGGGUGUAAAGGGCGAGUAGGCGGGCUUGCAAGUCAGAUGUGAAAUACCGAGGCUCAACUUCGGGGCUGCAUUUGAAACUGCGAGUCUUGAGUGAUGGAGAGGCAGGCGGAAUUCCCAGUGUAGGGGGAAAAUGCAUAGAUAUUGGGAAGAACACCAGUGGCGAAGGCGGCCUGCUGGACAUUAACUGACGCUGAGGAGCGAAAGUGUGGGGAGCAAACAGGAUUAGAUACCCUGGUAGUCCACACCGUAAACGAUGGAUACUAGGUGUGCGGGGACUGACCCCCUGCGUGCCGCAGUUAACACAAUAAGUAUCCCACCUGGGGAGUACGAUCGCAAGAUUGAAACUCAAAGGAAUUGACGGGG